CUAGGCACAAGCAAAUUACACCAUUAAUGUCAUCCUGGUGAAUGAAACAAGAGAAUAGUAUUUAUCAGAGAAAGUCUGGUGAGUUGAAGUCUGAGACCCCAGGAAAAAACUAGCCCUCCUGGGCUGCCCCUCCUUUGGAGUGGGACUAUGAUCCACAUCAGGCCAAUCCGAGUCACAGAAUGGUCUAGGCAUUGGAUGACUGCCCCAAUCUGAGCCAAGGAAGGUCAUUGCUGAGACAUUUUGCUGGUUGCCAGGCUGCAGGCAUCCCAGGCUUCCUGCUGCCCUCAUGUCUGCAACCUGUGGUCUGGAACAUUCCAGGAGCCACUUUUAUCACUUGCAGCAAUCUUCUUCAGUGAGUUCCCCAGGACUUGAUUUCAUCUUACAAUCUGAUUCCAUGUGUCUCCCAUAUUUUAAGGAUUCUUUAUAAUUUCUGGCUUACAGAGAACA
rnacentral:lncRNA from 1 species